rnacentral:rRNA from 1 species
AUACGGAGGGUGCAAGCGUUACUCGGAAUCACUGGGCGUAAAGCGCGCGCAGGCGGGCUGAUAAGUUGGAUGUGAAAGCCUACGGCUCAACCGUAGAACUGCAUCCAAAACUGUCAGUCUAGAGUCUGGGAGGGGAAGAUGGAAUUAGUUGUGUAGGGGUAAAAUCCGUAGAGAUAACUAGGAAUACCAAAAGCGAAGGCGAUCUUCUGGAACAGUACUGACGCUGAGGUACGAAAGCGUGGGUAGCGAACAGGAUUAGAAACCCUAGUAGUCC